AGUUUUUCUCUGUUGUGUUUUGGUUGUCGCCCCAAUGUACAUUGACGCGGCGCGUCGCGAAAAAGUGCAAAAUUAUUAACAAUAAUUGAUACAAAAUCGUGCUGCUAAGUUAAUAAACAAAUAUAUCGGUGUUGUCGCACAUCUGGACACAAGCAAAGAAUUAUCUAUACAAUAAAACAGCUGUUUGGCUGCUUUCGGCUGGGGCCCGUGUUAGCCAGCCUAUCCAAUUGGCAUUUGGUGCCAGUUCGUUCAUUGAUCUCCCCACUGACCACUCCGUGUGCUAUUGGUGCCAGCUAUAAACAACAAGCAAACACACAGCGACAUAUUUGAAACAGAUUUGGCAGCGUAAAAGUUGAAGGAUGUGUUGUUGUGAAACAUCCGCUGUCGAUAAACGGAACUGAUGUGGAAGAAUUACUAUGGUUUAAAACGUCAUUAGCGACAACAACAGCAACAGCAGAAACCAGCAAAGCGCUCUCUCACUAACUACUCACACUUAGAAACGUCAAAAAUACGAAACUAUCUAUACUCAACAAAAGAACAACAACAACAAAACGCACUAAACAGAACUCCUUGUUUAAGGAUCUAAUAACAGAAAAAAAAGCAAAAAUCAGCGAGCAACACACGACAAAAUGGUGUUGGUAUUGAACGGUGUCUUACAGGACGAUUGUCCAAUGGACACAAACAGUCUCUUCCUACAGCAUCCCGUUUACAGAGAUUAUGCCCAGCAACUGCUCUCCAUACCAAGAAAGUCGGUGGGCCCAGUGGGUCUGCUCUACGUGGGCCAACGUGAAAUGGCCGCUGCAGCGCCGCACGACAAGAACAUCAACAUUAUCGGCGCCGACGAUGCCACAACCUGCAUUAUUGUUGUGGUCAGACAUUCAGGUUCAGGCGCUGUGGCUUUGGCGCACUUCGAUGGCAACGGCAUAGACGAGGCUGUCUGCACAAUGGUUGCACGCGUCCAAGAGUUGGCCUUAGGUUAUCCAGAGGGACGUAUUGAGUUGCAAUUAAUUGGUGGCUACCGAGAUCCACAAGGUUAUGGCGAGGAGGUCUUCUACAGCAUAAUGCAAUCAUUCCAUAAGCAUCAUCUCGAAAUCGACUUGACUCAAGCCUGCGUCGGUGAGCUAAACACCAUACUGCGCGGCGAUAUCAACUAUCCGAUUAUAUACGGCGUUGGUGUUAACAUAAAAACCGGUGAAAUAUUCCCAGCAACUUUUCUAGAUCGAGGACCGGACAGACAAUUGCGUGAUGCUCGCAAUUUCAUGGGUGCACAAUCGGUCUUGGACAUUUAUGACUCCUCCUUGGGCAUGUUGCGUAUCGGCCCCUUCAAUUAUGAUCCAUUGCGCGGCGCUGAUUUGUGGCUAUCACAGACAGAUGAAUUCCUCUUGCAACACCUAUCGACGAGUCCGGACGUUGAGCCGCCACACUUCACAAUGCAGAUACGCGCAACAAUAAAAUUCAUACAGGAUAAUCAAUUCCCCGCAAUCACCGUGUUUCGGGACAAUCGGCCACGCUACUAUCGGCGCGACGAGUCUACGGGCUGCUGGACUUUGGUUAGAUAUUAAUUACGAAUAAACGCACACUCACACAUGCAUCCAUAUAUAUGUAAACAAUACGUGCUCGCAUAUUUGCAUAGUUUGCGCUUAAAGCGAAUAUUCACUUAAGUGUUAUUAAGCUGCGUUUUUACUUUGUUGUUUUAAACGUUCGCCUUAGCUGCUCCGUUCACUUUAUGGCUGCUCUGUACUUUUGUACCCGUUAAUGAUUGAGGCAAGACAGCGUAAAAAUAUAAAUAUAAAAAUUAAAACGAAUGUUUUCGCUAGCUACGUGUGAAAAUAAUUAAAAACAAGCCUUGAAGUAAAUAAAUAAAAAAAACUGUUUUAAUAAAAUUUUGUGAAAUUAGUUAAAUAUUUUAUGAAAUAUAUGUAUGUUGUAUAAUAGCUGCUAAUAAAUACUUGCAUACAAUAAAAUGUUAAAAGCAUUAUGUGCGCGACAAUUUAUAUUCUUAUUAUUGCUAUUGUUUAUGCGCUCGCUGUAAACACCCAUUUAUUUAAUGUGUAACCAUAUUAACGCUAUUAAAUAAAGUGAAUAUUGUAAUAAAAGAGUUUUUAAUUAAAUAUAUUAAAAGUUAUAACUGUAUACAACAGCUGAUAACGAAGCAAAUGUACAUUUAUUUGCAUGUUGCACAUAAACAGGACACGCAUUGUGAAUACAUAAGUACAUAUAAUGUACAUAUUUGAGCAACAAUUAAGUAUAUGUACUUGAAUAUAUCGAAUAUAGUUAAUUAUGUAUACCAACGCCACAAUUACGAAUGAUCAAUUAGAAACGACUUCAAUAUUGUACACCUAUACCAACACAUACAUGCAUAUAUGGAUUAAAAAUGAAAACAAUAAAGAAA
rnacentral:misc_RNA from 1 species